UAAGUGGGCACAUGGGAGCACCCUCAGCUCCCUCUCCAUGGGAUACCCUGUGGGGCACUUCAGAGUCCCCACCAGCAAGAAGGCUCUCUCUCACCAGAUGUGCCCCCCGCCAACCUUGGAUGUCUCAGUCUCCAGAACUCUUCCAUAUCUUCCUGAGGCAUUGCAGCCUAAAUUGGAACUCUGGAGCAGGAAGCUUGCAGAUGAGCCAGCUCCCUUGUGAAGCUGUAAGAACAUGGUACUUACAGGAGUAAGGCUCAUGAAGUGGAGAGAUGAGAAGACUUUCGGGACAGAUUGUGUGGAGGCUGUCAUUCUCCUCGUGACAUUGCUGUGGGAGAAGAAGGAGGCAUUCCAUGUUGGCUUCAGUGAAGAACUUCAGGUGCUGUUAAUUUUCUUGUGGAGAAGGAACUGUCUUUAGAAAAAUAUCUCAAAAAGCCACUGAAGUAGAAAGUUUCAGCAUGCUGAAGAUGGAACUUGAGAAGAUAGAAAGUUCUGGGUCCUUAGUGGCAUGACUGAGUCGCUGGACCACUGUUGGAACCACCCUAUGUCUUAGUUUUUAAAUCUCUUUACUGUCUAAGACAUUUUUAGUGGAAGUAUUUAUCUCUGGCAUCCAAUAAGACCUUUAAGGAUUUGCAGUUUUAUCUAUGUGUUUGUUUAUUGUCUGCUCCACCCUACUUGAUUGUGAUCACCAUGACAUCAAUGACUGUGCAUCUUUUGUUCACUCAGGAAUAUCCAGUGCCUGCCACGCAGAGUGUGCUGCAUGUACAUGCUCACUUGAUAUCUGUUGUAGCAAAGAGUGAAAGAGAGAAGGAAUAAAUGCUUUCUCCCAUGAUGAGGGGACAUGGGGUCCAGACAAGCUGGACCAUUAUCCCAGGCCCAGCGCUCUGCUUUAUUUUUUUUUUUCCAGUACAGCAUCACAUUCAGUUACAACAGAGUGAAAUCUCCUAAGAACACGGCUGAUUAUUUCUUGAUUGCAAAAAGGACUCACUAACCCUCCGAUCUCCUGUAACGCAAGUCAAUGCUCUUCUAAUCUCCUUUUAGACAGCACCUGUACUUGUCAGUCAACGCAUGGUAGUCUGGGCUAGCCAAGUGAAUCCUUAACUAAACUGAAGUGGUGCUGAUCAUUCAGCCUUCAGAAUUGAAAAAAUCACAGCAUUGCUGAAGGAAAAGGCAUUUUUCAGGUAGAGAGGCAUAAGUCUUGGGCCAGGAAGCUUCAGUAAGAAGACAAUAAUUUCAUAGAAAUGCAUUAGCUUGGGGAGUCCAACUGCUGUUCUUGCACCUAAGAAAUUCAGAGGAGAGCUCUUUGCUUCCUUGCUCAUUCCAGUGGUUAGGAGUCAGGCCUUGUCCCAGAAUGUUCAGGUUGAUGCUUACCAUUUAAGCCUUAAGUUAAUCCGUUGAAGCUCCAGGCCUUUUAUGGGAUUCACAAGAAUAAACAGCAUUUAACUAUAGAUUCUCAAAGGUCAAAUCUUCAACCUAAAUCUGAGGAUUCAAAGCAUUGUUCACUCUAAUAAUUCUGCUAGUUCCCAACUUCACACAAACCAUUUAUUUCAGAAUGUAAACCUUGAAUAAUCUUUUCUUACUUGUAGUUUUGUGGUCAUUUAGAAAACAGCAAUACUCUAUUUUAAUUGGAACUAAGUGACAAAAAUAAGCCACUUCAUUAGUUUUCUAGAUAACGGUAAAAUGUAAGAACAAAAAGCCACUUCUUUUUCCACGUGGUAUUUUACAGUGACUUUUUUUUUUCUUUUUACUGCAUUUUAAAAUUCUACUGGAGGCAUUUCUCGGAAACUUUCUCUUACUUGUUAAUGAAUCAUCCCCUUUGAGAAUCAGCAGGUGAUUUCAGGAGCCCAGGUGUGAAUAAUUGAUUUAAGGUCGACCUUGUGGGUGGAGCCAAUGUUUACCAAGUGCAUUCAUUCGACAAACAAUUGAUGAACACCAAAUUAGAGUUCAAUUCCAGAUAACAAAAACCAGUUGAACUAAUUUCAUCAGAAAGCUACUUAAUAGGGGUAAUUAGGUGCUUACAAAAUAGAAGGGCUGGAAGCCCAGGAUCUAGGCUGACACCCAUGUAGCUAGACCCUGGAAACUGGGAUUCCAGCUGCACAGAACAGCCAAGUGUGUUCAUGACUGUGCUUGUUUGUCAGCAGGAGCAUGGCCCUGCCUUGUGAUACUGUGUUUUUCAGCUCUCACGUGGCUGAGUCUGUUUGGAGAAGUUGGUUCAAGAUGCAGCUUGACUCUCAGGGAGUCUGAAUAACUACCCUUAAUAUUGUUAGCUUUCUGGUCUCCAGCACACAGUAUGAUUUUCUGGAAGAAGGAUUUAAUGUAGUUAAAUAUGCCAACGUGUAAUAUCUGAUGUACAUUUCUACCCUGCUUGGGAUACAAAAUAAAUAAAAGCCAGUUUCUGUCUGUAAGGAGUGUACAGUUUAGUAAGAAGACAGACUCCUGAACAAAGAUGUAUACUUCAAUGUUGCCAGCCCAGGAUUAGAGAUGGGUAUUAAGAGGACCUCUGAUGAGUGAUAUUUUGCAUCUGGUGCAGGACAGUUCCCUAGGUGGCCUUGGACCAAACCAGUCCUCCCGCUUUCUCACUUGUAGUUUUAAGAAUAACUAGAAUGUGCUGGGAAUGCAACAUCCCGAGAUAAGGCCUAGGCUCUGUUCCAGUCCCCGCUAGAAACAGGAUGUCCUUCAGCACAUUAAUCCAGCAGGUCAUGUUAUCCCUGGAGUAGAAAACCCAGAGACGGCUACUUUCCAGGGUCCUGCAUCUGGGGUGCAAGUGAGGCACACGCAGAUGAGACUCCACCUGCCCUGGGCAGCUUUCCUGAGCCUUGAGAAACCAGCUCACCAUGAAUCCAAGGUGUCUGCUGUUCCUUGCCACCAUUUCAUGGAACCUGUUGUAUGUACCUAUUCAUGUUUUCCAUGUUUCAAAUAUGACUGAACCUGACAUAUAUAAGAACGCAAAAGAUUCUUCAAAAUCAAACUGUGUCCGGAAUUGGUGGGUUCUUGGUCUCACUGACUUCAAGAAUGAAGCCACGGACCCUGGCGGUGAGUGUUACAGCUCUUAAGGUGGCGUUUCUGGAGUCUGUCCCUUCUGAUGUUCAGAUGUGUUCGGAGUUUCUUCCUUCUGGUGGGUUCGUGGUCUCGCUGGCUCAGGAGUGAAGCUGCAGAUCUUCACGGUUGCUAGUAACACAAUAAUAAAGCUGCUUUAUUUUCCAGUGAAGAUGUAUGUGAUAGGGAGUGGAGGAAGAAAAAGGCCAGAAAAUUCCAUAGUUAGCAAAUAUACCUUUCUUACUUAAAAUUCUUUUUCCAAUGUGAGCCUUCUAAAGAGUUACUGAGAAAUUAGGUGAGCUCACCUCAUUUAAUGCAAUAGAUAUGUUUCUGAAAAAUAAGCAAUACAUAGGACAUUGGCCAAUUAAGAAUUCUGAUGAAGAAGAAUUUUCACAUCCGAAAGAGUAAAAAUGAAAAACGGUACAAAUGUAGUGGCUUUUAAAUUUCAAAACAAAUUAUUUUGAUAAGAUAAAUAUUCCUCUCAUAAAGUGAAAAUGGAAGAGACUGCUUGCUGGGUGUUCGUCAAAAUGGAGUUAGAUGGUCUGUCCCAGACUCCCCUGUUGUUAGUUCUGAGAACAGAAGUAAUGGUGCUUCUUCAGGACUGGCUCAUAGAAACCUGCCGUGUUCAGCCCCCACAAUCCUCUCCCUUCUGCUGGCUGGAAACAAAUGACAACGAAGCCUCACGUCUUGGAGAAACCACACUGCUGAGGAACUCAAGUCCUAGAAGAACCAUUUGAAGAGACCCAUCUCACUAAAGAAAAUCACACAAGCAAGAAGUAAACUUCAUUGUAUCUAUGUAUUUAAUUGUCAUAACAGUCUACCUUAACUGAUACAGCAAAAAUUCGCUCCUUUUCUGGACACCCAGUUUCAAAAUCUCAGUGUCAUUUUUUACUUCUCUCUUUUCAGGUUGUUUAAUAUAAUAAAAUUUGUGUGUGUGUGUGUGUGUGUGUGACAAGGUCUUGCUCUGUUGCCCAGGCUGGAGUGCAAUGGCACGCUCCCAGCCCACUACAGCCUUGACCUCCAAGCUCAAGUGUUCCUCCCACCUCAGCCUCCAGAGUAACUGGGACUACAGGCAUGGGCCACCACACCCGGCUAAUUUUUGUACUUUUUGUAGAGACAGGGUUUCACCAUGUUGCCCAGGCUGGUCUUGAACCCCUGGGCUCAAGCGAUCUGCCCAUCUCCACCUCCCAAAAUUCUAGGAUUACAGGCGUGAGCCACUACACCCAACCAUUUUAUUUUUAAAAGUUUUCUUUGCAAUAUUGCUCACAUUGUUUCCUUCCUUUUUAUUCUUAUUGUCACUCCCAAGUUCAGGCUUUUACCUCUUUUAUUUGAAGUAUUAAAGUAUACUUCUAAGUCAUUUCUGUGGCUUAAAUUUAUUUAAUCCACUCCAUCCUGCAUCCUACCAACACAAUAACAUUGUUUCAUCAUUUCAAAUUGAAAUCGAAACUCUCCAAAGCUUUCCUACUGCUGAAUGGAUAAAAACACAAAAUCCUCAAUAGAGAAUUCACUUUCUGGAGCCAACUUACCUUUCCAAAUAUUUCCCAUUAUUCCCUAAGAGAAUCCUCCUGACAUACUCACUGUUUUUCAUAUACACUAGACCUUUUCUCAACCACCUAUUUGUCCACACAUUUUUCUUCCAGCUAGAAUAUUAUUUUCCCUUUCUCACUUCUGAAAGUCUUACCUGUCAUUCAUGGUUCAUCUCAAGCUCAAUCUUCUCCUUGAAACCUUUAAGCAUACCCUCCUGGAAAGUUAUCUCCCUCACCUCGAACCACCCCCCCAGCCCCUGCCAGAAUCUCCUAUAGGGCUGAUUGUUUAUCCUGCUUAUUAUAUAUUUAUAAAACACUCCACUGAGUUAUUAAUUACCUUUUCCUUGACUGUGAAAACAUGACUCUGGCUUCAAGGUAGGACCAUUUUUUCUCUAACACUGUGUCUCAUACACUUCAGCACAAGCUCUUAGUGGCCUGUGCAUUCAACUCCCAUGCAUAGCCACUUCCUCCAGGCAAACCCCACAGCCAGCAUCCAAAUUUUAAAAGGGGUUCUGUCAUCAACCCAAAGUUUCUUCUCUCUCAAGGAACCUAGAUUUAGAAGUUGAGUCUAGGCCACCUGUCUAAGAUACAGUAGUUAAUUUAACAUAUUUUAUUGCUCUCAACAUCACAGAGAAAGAGCCUUACUGCAGAUCUCAUUCUUUCCUUCAAAGCCAGUUUGCCCAUUCCUCUUCAGAAACCUUUAAGAGUGGUUAUUGGGAGAGAUGAUAAGACUCCAUCUGCUUAAGGAGUCCCUCUAACCCAGAAUAGUAGAUGUAAACACCUGACAUGUUGUUAUAGAGUGAAUGUUUGUGUUCCCCUCCAAUCCAUAUGUUGAAAUUCCAAGCCCCAAUGUGUUCGCAUUGGGAGGUGAGGCCUUUGGGAGGUAAAUAGAUCAUGAAGGUGAAGUCUUCAUGAAUGGAUUAGUGUCCUUAUAAAAGAGACCCCAGAGAGCUCUCUCAUCCUGUUUCUGCCAUGUGAGGACACAGCAAGAAGUUGGUCAUCUGCAACCUGAAGUGGCUCCUCCCCAGAAACUGAAUCUGCUGGGGUCUUAAUGGUGGGCUUCCCAGCCUCCAGAAUUAUGAGUGUAAAUGUUUGUUGUUUAAGCUACCCAGUCUAGGGUAGUUUGCUAUACUACCCCAAACUGACUAAGAUACAUAUGUUUGUCAUCCACUCAGUUGUUUUCCUAAAAUAAAUGAAGUCAGCUCCAAAGAUGAAUUUUCAUCUCUUUUUGUAGAGAUGGGUGCUAUUAUGCUUUUUAAUGAACGUUUAUUCACAAAUAAAAACAAAACAUACCUCUCACAUCCUCAGAGCAAAUACUUACAGUAACAUACAUUGAUGCUCACAAGCUCAUUACAUUUCAUGUUUACUAUUCAUUGAUAACAUUACAUUUAUUAUUAUCACAUAAACCAUACCUCCUGUUUAUGAAGCACUUAUGGUGUUUUAGUCAAUGUUAUGGUACCUGCUAUAUAUGGUCUCUAAUUUUAUUUUAACUUCCUAUAGUAAACAAUAUUAGGUGCUAACUCAAUAGUCAUUUUCUAACCUGAUUUUUCCUUGCAAACAGAACCCCAAAUUUGUUUGGAGAGAAAUGUGUCCAAAUCCAAACAAAGCAUCACCAUUUCUUUGAACCAUCAUAAGGAUCUAAUCAUUUUUUUUGUUUUCCUAGCCUCCCUCUAGCCAGAGAUACUGGGUAACACAGUUCUGGCUGAGAAGACAAGAGAAGAAAUCUGCUAAGCAUUUCUGGAAAAAGUUUUGAUUUGCUGAUGAAAGGGAACAGACAUACUGGUUGCCUUCCUUUUCCCUUUCAGCUGCCUAGUCGCCAUUUUGCAAUGUGAAACAACAUCAUUAAGGAAAGAUCAAAACAAUUGCAGAGAUGUCAACCAUCAUGCCUUUGAAUUCAUGCUCACAGUUGUCUGCCUCCAGAUUCAGUUAUAUUUGAGGUACUCUUUGAGUUAAGAUCCUUCUCAUUUUAUACCACUUGCAGCUGAACACACUCCCCACUAAUUUACCUUGUAAGGUGAAUUUCACUUAAAGGAAGAACACAUAAGUCAGGGAAUGACACAUAAUAGUAAAUGCAGGGUUUUUUUUUCUAUUUAUGAUAUAGAUUUAUACAACUGCUAUGUUCUUGACAUUGUACCAAUUUCAAGGUACAAAUAAGACAUAAUCCCUAAAAGCAUGGGUUACAAAAUCUGGGUUCAGCAUAGGGUUUCAUGAUAAACAAACAAACACAAAUUGUUUUUUAUUGUAUUUCCUUCUUCUUCACAUCUUGUGAAUCUAAGAAAAAUAUCAGAAUGUUCGUUUCAGCUCAAUUUUUGAAGAGUACAAUCUCUAAGUAAAAAGAAACUGUAAAUGUUUAUAAAUGUAACUAGAGCCUAGUAGAAAAUAAAGCCAUGCAAGUGUGUUUAGGUCCUAAUCUUAUUAACCAGAUUAGUGACACACAGUCUGCCCAAAGUUAAUGAAAGCAGUGAGGUUCUUUGACUUCAGUAGAUACACACCUGAACCACAGAGAUAAACUUGCUUCAAACCUGUGCGAUAUGUUUUUCUAAGCAUAAAAUUGAGCAUGAUAGCUCCAAUUUCAGUCUCAGUUUCAAAGCUUCCCUUUCCCGAAUAAGAGGCAAACUGUCACAUUAAAUUUAGCGAAUUAAAAUCAGUUAACUUGAAAAGCUCUUGGCCCCAAUGCAGAGAAAAUUGUUUGCAUAAUAAUAACUUAUUUCCUUUUUUAAAAGGCGGACUUCUGCCUGAAUGCUUCUAUAAACUUUUAAGAAAAUGGGAUUCUCAAAUCUCAAGCGUAUUGGGUUGCAGUUGGCACUUGAAGCUGGGGACAUGCAGAGCUGGCUAAUGUCAGCAGCUGUAGGACUGUCAAGAAAAAUAGGUGGAAGGGACACUUUUAUUAUAAGUAGACUUGCAAGGCAUUCCAACUUUCAGCUGCUCAACCCAGUAUACCAAACACCUCUGACUACCUCAAGUGUGGCCUUGCUGAGUGCUUCCAUAUUUAGGGGUUAUUAGACAGGACUGAAGCAAGUGACCUCUAAUGAGGAAGCAAUCAGGGCAGGCUCUGACCCUCCUCAGAGGUACUGUAAUGAACUGGCCUUGGAAGGUCUUUGAUGCUGCCUUUGCAUACUGUAUAUGAGCUUUCUGCUCAGUCAUUUCCUCUGCGCUCUGGUAGCACAGCAUGAAGCCUGCUAUUAGAAAAAAGGUUUAUUGCUACCUUGCAAACAUUUAUUGGGUAAUAUCUAAAACAUGGUGUCAAGUUAUAGUAAUGCGCUGUUCUGGGAAACUUUUUGAGAAUUUUAGUGUUUCAGAAGAUGGUCCUUUGAGAAUUCUUCUGUUUCAGAAAUGAAAAGUGGUAGAUAUAUACGUGUGUGUGUAUAAUAUGCUCAUGUAUCCUCUGAUUACUUGCCAGAGAUGUACCAUUUUUCUUUCAAGGGAAACAUCUAUUCCUAAGAUAGAUUAUUCUUGAAAUUUUCAAAGAGUAUGCCUCAGAGAACAAAUAUACAAAUUUACCAUUUGUCUGCAGAUAUUAUUUGCCUGUGUUUAUGCUAGGUCACUGACACCACACACAUUUUAAUCCCCAAGGGAAUUUAUUUGGUGGUGUUAUCUACUCAACCAAGCUGAAGCUUAUCUAGUUCACAAGAAAAUAGUCAAUAUGAGCUCCAUGCAGACUUAUGCUGUUAAUGCAGAAGAGGGAAAGAGAAUUUACCUUUAACUGUUAUGAUGAAAAUGUGUACAAUGACACUUAACUAUGGCAUGCAAAUCCUCUUUUCCUCCCCCACAGGUAUCUGGAAAGUACCUUAUACAGCUAGGUGCUUAGAAAAUGUUUAUUGAUUAAAUAGAUGAUGAUUAACAGAUUAAUAAAAGGUGAAAGUUACUAUCUAUGCAUUUUUUUCCAGUUUGAUGUUCAAAAACUUACCAAUGGAUGGGGAGUUGCUUUUCAUAAACAAUUUAUAAAGCACUGUCCUGGAUGAAAUUGUAAAAAGGACGUGGUGUCAAAGAUGACUCAGUGGAGUUGAGGUGAAAAAUGUGUAAUGAGCAAAUCAUGGUAAUUGGGAUAUCCAUCACCUCAAACCCUUAUCAUGUCUUUGUGUUGAGGACAUUUCAAAUCUUCCCUUCCAGCUAUUUUGAAAUAUACAACAAAUUAUUGUUAAGUGUAGCCACCCUAGUGUGCUACUGUACACUAGGACUUACUUAUUCCUUCUAUCUAACUGUAUUUUUGAACCCAUGAACCAACAUCUCUUUGAUUUCCAGCCUGGGCUUUGGUGUCCCUUUUUUUGUGUGUUUUCAUAGGGCCCUAUAUUUAUAUUAUUUGGGCUCAACACAUUGCAAAACUGCAGAGGAGUUUACUAUUAUGCACAUUAUUAUUCUAUAUUCUGUCACUCUAAGAAACAAUAAGUGACCAUCUGAAGAGACCAUCUUCUAGCACCAAAAUAUUUAAAGAUGAUUAAGAAUAAGACAAGGGUCUCCUUAUUUACAAAAUGACAUAAUUGAAAGGACUAGAUUAUUAGCAACCCCUCUGGAAAAGGAUUACUCUUUUGGAUUUUAAUUACAUAACUAAUAUAUCAACUGAAGUGCUAUGCCCUGACGUGUGCUCCCCUCAGCUUCACGAUCCAUAUGUUGAAACCCAACCCCUUAAUGUGAUGGCAUUUGGAGAUGGGGCUUUGGAGAUAUUAGUUAGGUUUAGAUAAGGUCAUGAGAAUGGGGCUCUUAUGAUGAGAUGAGCACCUUCAUAAAAAGAGACACGAGGUAUUUCUCUUUUCUCUCUUCUCUCUCUCCCUCUUUCCCUCCCUCCCUCUCUCCUCCUUCUCUGUCUUCCUCCUUUAUGUGAGGACAUAGCCAGAAGGCAGCUGUGUCUGCAAGCCAGGAAGAAAGCCCUCACCAGGAAUCAACUAUAUCAGCACCUUGAUCUUGAACUUCUAUCCUUAGAACAGAGAGAAAAUGAAUUUCUAUUCUUGAAGCCACCCAGCCUACGGUAUUUUGUUAUGGCAGUCAAGCUGAAUAAGAUAUAUAUCUACACUGAGACCAUUAAAAGUAGUUCCUGAUUGGCAGAAAGGUUGUAUAUAUAAAUGGCUCAUUGAAAGUUCUCACUGCAUGGAUGAGAAAUCUCAGAUUGAGGUUCUUAAAUUUUGAAAAAUAGAAAUAAAGGAAUUAACGCAACAGUCUUCUAAUCUUUCUGCCUUCAGUUUUUGCUCCCUUUGACUAUUCUCUGUACACUGCAUCCAGAGGUUAUAUUUUGACAGGGAAAUUCAAAUGAUGUAUAUUAUUUUUCUACUCAAAAUCUCCCCACUGGCACCCUAUUGUCCUAAAGCAUAAACUGCUAUUGCAGUCAAUUCACCUGAAAUAAGCUCUCUUCCUGCCGCGUCUUUUACAUAGAUUGUUUACUCCUCUUGUGAUCCCAGUUCCCUGCUUCUCCCUCUCCUCCACACUUUUCAAUAAUUAAAUUAUACUCAGCGUUCAGAAUUCAGUCAGGAUAUCCUACCUUCUUUGGUCAGCCCCCCAGGGUUUUCUGAAAGCUGGGAAGAGGCCCUCUUCUGCAAUCCCCAUGCACUGUAGACACAUCCCCUUUAGGUCCCUAUGUUGUGAGUGACUGUUUUCUUGUCUGUCUCUGCCACUAUAUUAUGCACUCUUAGAAGGCAAGGACUACUUCUCUUCAUUGUAUACCUAGAACUUAACCCAAAAACUGGCAUGUGCAUGCACCCAAGUUUUCACUGAGAAAAUAAUUGCAUGAGUCACUUGCUUUCCAGGUCUUUCUGACUACUAUGAUGGUGAUGACUUGUAGUCACAACAUGAAAUUGGUUUCUGCCCCUGAGGAUUGUAUCUCUCUACUUUGCAUGACCCCUAGAUUUCAAUCCCUCUUUAUUCUCUCCUGAUCCUUGGGUUCCAGUAAUUCUCUGGGUUUCAAAUAUAAGCACAGUGUGAGGAGCUCUUCAUUCUUGACAGAACUUUCAGGCAAGAAAGAAAUAGAUUCCUGGGAAUAUCUAUAUUCCCUCUGGCCCUAUUCCUUACUCCCAAAACAUAAUAACCCUUUUCUUAGGUUUUUUCUCUCUACCUUUUUACUUCUUCCUUAUUCUCACGAUUACAUGAAUUAACUGCCUACAGAGUAUGAAUUCAGACUGAAUUAAUAUGUAUUUAUGUGACAUAAAAGAUCUCUUUCAGUACUUCUUAAUCUUACCAAAUGAUGCAUACUAUACAAUAAAAAAUUGCAAUUUUUUCAUUAGCUUUUUUUUUUUUUUUUGGUUUCUGGUAGGGUUUUCCUUUAGUGGUAUUUUAGCAAGUAAUACAAUCCAGUUAUUUUUAAAAGUAUAUUAGUAGAAACUCACCAGAAGUCAAUAUACUGGUCCAAGAAUAAUUAACUGAUUGACUUUAUUGUUUAUGAAACUUUGUAAUGUUCCUUUUGAUGUGAAUGCUUAUCUUAGGGGGAAAUGCACUUUUCAAAUAUAAAUGAUCAUGUUUAAACAAACUGCUUCUAGUUUCAAAUAUGGCACUGAAAAACAAAAUAAAAUAAACACUCAAUUUUUAUUUAAAAUGGUGGGCAAUUUACUUUCUUUUUUGUUUGGGAUCUGAUUCAAGAGCCUCAAUUCAGCUUAUUGCAGAACUAACUAAACUAAACCUCAAAGGAAAAAUUUUAAAAAUGAUUUUUAUAGCAAUGACAUCAUUAUAUAAAAUGUUGGCAUUUCAUAUUUUCCAAACAGAAACUUGGAAAUAACAGAAUACAAGUUAAAUAAAACAAAUUGAAACUAAUCCAAUUCUCUGUUUUUCUUUCCCUUUUUAAAAACCAAGCUUUUUAUUGCCAGCUUUUACUUUGCAUAAUAAUAUAUGAUGAAUUGUCCAAGAAAGACCCAGUGGGUACAUUUCUCUUAGAAAUAAGCCUCUCUAUGCAAUAGGAGGCCAAGUUCUAGGGCAACAUACUUAUAUAAUCAUGUAAGAUUUUCCUUAUUGCUAACAAUUGACCAACCUGGGCAUUUGUCAAAUAUGUAAACACAUGGAGGUCACUGGUCACCAGAGGAUUGAAAACACAAAUCACUCUAUUCAUAUCCAUCCCUAGUUCUAGAAAAACAAUACCAAAUUAAAGCAUAUAUCCUACUAGCAAUAGGACUAGCAAAAUUAUUUUGGUAUACCAGAGCUACAUGUUAUACAUUUUGCUACUUAUGGAUUUAAUUACUCAGGAUAAUUAUACACAUGGCUACAACUGUAAACUUUAUAAUAUUUUGCUGGCAUACCUUCCAAAAGAGUUUGAAAAGCUAUGAAUUUAAUUCUAUAUUUGCAUUUGACAUAUAAAGUAC
rnacentral:lncRNA from 1 species